rnacentral:rRNA from 1 species
GCACCACAAGAGCGUGGAGUAUGUGGCUUAAUUUGACUCAACGCGGAAAAGCUUAUCUGGUCCGGACGCAGUGAGGAUUGACAGACAGUUUCAGGAGUGGUUCUUGGUAAACAAUUGAGAGAGUUGAAGUUCUUUCAUGAUCUUGUGAGAGGUGGUGCAUGGCCGUUCUUAGUUCGUGUAGUGAUAUGUCUGCCUAAUCGCGUCACGAUAACCUAUUGGUCGACAACCCAAUUAUCACAACUGCAGCAUAACUCCCCUUGG